GCGACUUACUGUUCGUGGCAAGCUUAACCGUAUAGGGGAGGCGAAGGGAAACCGAGUCUGAUAAGGGCGCAUAGUCGCGGGCAGUAGACCCGAAACCGG
rnacentral:rRNA from 1 species